UACAGAGGUCUCAAGCGUUGUUCGGAUUCAUUGGGCGUAAAGGGUGCGUAGGCGGCGCGGUAAGUCGGGUGUGAAAUCUCGGGGCUUAACUCCGAAACUGCAUUCGAUACUGCCGUGCUUGAGGACUGGAGAGGAGACUGGAAUUUACGGUGUAGCGGUGAAAUGCGUAGAUAUCGUGAGGAAGACCAGUGGCGAAGGCGGAUCUCUGGACAGCUCCUGACGCUGAGGCGCGAAGGCUAGGGGAGCAAACGGG
rnacentral:rRNA from 1 species